AUUGAACGCUGGCGGCAUGCUUUACACAUGCAAGUCGAACGGCAGCGCGGGCUUCGGCCUGGCGGCGAGUGGCGAACGGGUGAGUAAUUCAUCGGAACGUGCCCAGUAUUGGGGGAUAGCCCGGCGAAAGCCGGAUUAAUACCGCAUACGAUCUGAGGGUGAAAGCGGGGGACCGAAAGGCCUCGCGCUAUUGGAGCGGCCGAUGUCGGAUUAGCUAGUUGGUGGGGUAAAGGCUUACCAAGGCGACGAUCCGUAGCUUGUCUGAGAGGACGACCAGCCACACUGGGACUGAGCAACGGCCCAGACUCCUCCGGGAGGCAGAAGUGGGGAAUUUUGGACAAUGGGGGAAAUCCUGAUGCAGCCAUGCCGCGUGCGGGAAGAAGGCCUUCGGGUUGUAAACCGCUUUUGUUCGGGAAGAAAUCCUCUGGGCUAAUACCCCGGGGGGAUGACGGUACCGGAAGAAUAAGCACCGGCUAACUACGUG
rnacentral:rRNA from 1 species